AAUAGAUACCCAGGUAGUCCACGCCGUAAACGUUGGGCGCUAGAUGUGGGGACCAUUCCACGGUUUCCGUGUCGCAGCUAACGCAUUAAGCGCCCCGCCUGGGGAGUACGGCCGCAAGGCUAAAACUCAAAGGAAUUGACGGGGGCCCGCACAAGCGGCGGAGCAUGCGGAUUAAUUCGAUGCAACGCGAAGAACCUUACCAAGGCUUGACAUAUACGAGAACGCUCUAGAAAUAGAGAACUCUUUGGACACUCGUAUACAGGUGGUGCAUGGUUGUCGUCAGCUCGUGUCGUGAGAUGUUGGGUUAAGUCCCGCAACGAGCGCAACCCUCGUUCUAUGUUGCCAGCAGUUCGGCCGGGAACUCAUAGGAGACUGCCGGGGUCAACUCGGAGGAAGGUGGGGAUGACGUCAAAUCAUCAUGCCCCUUAUGUCUUGGGCUUCACGCAUGCUACAAUGGCCGGUACAAAGGGCUGCAAUACCGCAAGGUGGAGCGAAUCCCAAAAAGCCGGUCUCAGUUCGGAUUGAGGUCUGCUAACC
rnacentral:rRNA from 1 species